rnacentral:rRNA from 1 species
ACGCUGGCGGCGUGCCUAAUACAUGCAAGUCGAACGAGAGCGACCGGUGCUUGCACUGGUCAAUCUAGUGGCGAACGGGUGAGUAACACGUGGGUAACCUGCCCAUCAGAGGGGGAUAACAUUCGGAAACGGAUGCUAAAACCGCAUAGGUCCUUUAACCGCAUGGUUGAAGGAGGAAAAGAGGCGCAAGCUUCUGCUGAUGGAUGGACCCGCGGUGCAUUAGCUAGUUGGUGAGGUAACGGCUCACCAAGGCCGUGAUGCAUAGCCGACCUGAGAGGGUGAUCGGCCACAUUGGGACUGAGACACGGCCCAAACUCCUACGGGAGGCAGCAGUAGGGAAUCUUCCGCAAUGGACGCAAGUCUGACGGAGCAACGCCGCGUGAGUGAAGAAGGUUUUCGGAUCGUAAAACUCUGUUGUUAGAGAAGAACAAGUGCUAGAGUAACUGUUAGCGCCUUGACGGUAUCUAACCAGAAAGCCACGGCUAACUACGUGCCAGCAGCCGCGGUAAUACGUAGGUGGCAAGCGUUGCCCGGAUUUAUUGGGCGUAAAGCGAGCGCAGGCGGUUCCUUAAGUCUGAUGUGAAAGCCCCCGGCUCAACCGGGGAGGGUCAUUGGAAACUGGGGAACUUGAGUGCAGAAGAGGAGAGUGGAAUUCCAUGUGUAGCGGUGAAAUGCGUAGAUAUAUGGAGGAACACCAGUGGCGAAGGCGACUCUCUGGUCUGUAACUGACGCUGAGGCUCGAAAGCGUGGGUAGCAAACAGGAUUAGAUACCCUGGUAGUCCACGCCGUAAACGAUGAGUGCUAAGUGUUGGAGGGUUUCCGCCCUUCAGUGCUGCAGUUAACGCAUUAAGCACUCCGCCAGGGGAGUACGACCGCAAGGUUGAAACUCAAAGGAAUUGACGGGGACCCGCACAAGCGGU